CGUUGUCCGGAAUUAUUGGGCGUAACGGGCUCGUAGGCGGUUUGUCGCGUCGGGCGUGAAAACUCAGGGCUCAACCCUGAGCGUGCUUCCGAUACGGGCAGACUAGAGGUAUUCAGGGGAGAACGGAAUUCCUGGUGUAGCGGUGGAAUGCGCAGAUAUCAGGAGGAACACCGGUGGCGAAGGCGGUUCUCUGGGAAUUACCUGACGCUGAGGAGCGAAAGCAUGGGGAGCGAACAGG
rnacentral:rRNA from 1 species